rnacentral:pre_miRNA from 14 species
GCUCCCUUCCACUUUAACAUGGGAAUGCUUUCUGUCACAUUGAAGAGUAAGUGCUGCCAUGUUUUAGUAGAAGU